GGAGGGGUGGCAGAGCGGUUGAAUGCGAUGGUCUUGAAAACCAUUAACCGGUAACCCCGGUUCGAGGGUUCGAAUCCCUCCCCCUCCG
rnacentral:tRNA from 1 species